UACGUAGGGACCGAGCGUUGUCCGGAUUCAUUGGGCGUAAAGAGCUCGUAGGCGGCUGCUCAAGUCGAAUGUGGAAACUCGAGGCUCAACCUCGAGCCUGCAUUCGAUACUGGGCGGCUAGAGUCUGGUAGGGGGAUCUGGAAUUCCUGGUGUAGCGGUGGAAUGCGCAGAUAUCAGGAGGAACACCGGUGGCGAAGGCGGGAUCCUGGGCCAGUACUGACGCUGAAUAGCGAAAGCCAGGGGAGCAAGCGGG
rnacentral:rRNA from 1 species